rnacentral:rRNA from 1 species
GAUGAACGCUGGCGGCGUGCCUAAUACAUGCAAGUCGAGCGAACGGACGAGAAGCUUGCUUUUCUGAUGUUAGCGGCGGACGGGUGAGUAACACGUGGAUAACCUACCUAUAAGACUGGGAUAACUUCGGGAAACCGGAGCUAAUACCGGAUAAUAUUUUGAACCGCAUGGUUCAAAAGUGAAAGACGGUCUUGCUGUCACUUAUAGAUGGAUCCGCGCUGCAUUAGCUAGUUGGUAAGGUAACGGCUUACCAAGGCAACGAUGCAUAGCCGACCUGAGAGGGUGAUCGGCCACACUGGAACUGAGACACGGUCCAGACUCCUACGGGAGGCAGCAGUAGGGAAUCUUCCGCAAUGGGCGAAAGCCUGACGGAGCAACGCCGCGUGAGUGAUGAAGGUCUUCGGAUCGUAAAACUCUGUUAUUAGGGAAGAACAUAUGUGUAAGUAACUGUGCACAUCUUGACGGUACCUAAUCAGAAAGCCACGGCUAACUACGUGCCAGCAGCCGCGGUAAUACGUAGGUGGCAAGCGUUAUCCGGAAUUAUUGGGCGUAAAGCGCGCGUAGGCGGUUUUUUAGUCUGAUGUGAAAGCCCACGGCUCAACCGUGGAGGGUCAUUGGAAACUGGAAAACUUGAGUGCAGAAGAGGAAAGUGGAAUUCCAUGUGUAGCGGUGAAAUGCGCAGAGAUAUGGAGGAACACCAGUGGCGAAGGCGACUUUCUGGUCUGUAACUGACGCUGAUGUGCGAAAGCGUGGGGAUCAAACAGGAUUAGAUACCCUGGUAGUCCACGCCGUAAACGAUGAGUGCUAAGUGUUAGGGGGUUUCCGCCCCUUAGUGCUGCAGCUAACGCAUUAAGCACUCCGCCUGGGGAGUACGACCGCAAGGUUGAAACUCAAAGGAAUUGACGGGGACCCGCACAAGCGGUGGAGCAUGUGGUUUAAUUCGAAGCAACGCGAAGAACCUUACCAAAUCUUGACAUCCUUUGACAACUCUAGAGAUAGAGCCUUCCCCUUCGGGGGACAAAGUGACAGGUGGUGCAUGGUUGUCGUCAGCUCGUGUCGUGAGAUGUUGGGUUGAGUCCCGCAACGAGCGCAACCCUUAAGCUUAGUUGCCAUCAUUAAGUUGGGCACUCUAAGUUGACUGCCGGUGACAAACCGGAGGAAGGUGGGGAUGACGUCAAAUCAUCAUGCCCCUUAUGAUUUGGGCUACACACGUGCUACAAUGGACAAUACAAAGGGCAGCGAAACCGCGAGGUCAAGCAAAUCCCAUAAAGUUGUUCUCAGUUCGGAUUGUAGUCUGCAACUCGACUACAUGAAGCUGGAAUCGCUAGUAAUCGUAGAUCAGCAUGCUACGGUGAAUACGUUCCCGGGUCU